AUGUCAUCUAUCAAUGACAUCCCAUUGAUCUCCAGGCUUAAUUUAGCUCAUCUGACUGGCAAGUUUGGUGUCCCCUUUCUCCCUCACUGCUUCAUCUGUGUUCCUCCCCAAGCUGUGUGCUUGGUCCUGAGAGGAUGCCCCUCCCCAAAUAGAGAUGGACUGGUCUUCUGCUUACCUGCUAGAACCUCUAUAUGAACUCUCAAGGUCCAUAUAUACAAUUUUUACUUCAUAUUUACUUAUAGAAAGUGAAUGUUUUGACAAAGAUGUAGAGGAGUCA
rnacentral:snRNA from 1 species